GUUCCGAUAGCUCAGGGGUAGAGCAACCGGCUGCAGUCCGGUAGGUCAGGCGUUCAAAUCGCCUUCGGAACU
rnacentral:tRNA from 1 species